rnacentral:rRNA from 1 species
UACGUAGGGCGCAAGCGUUAUCCGGAAUUAUUGGGCGUAAAGAGCUCGUAGGCGGUUUGUCGCGUCUGCCGUGAAAGUCCGGGGCUCAACUCCGGAUCUGCGGUGGGUACGGGCAGACUAGAGUGCGGUAGGGGAGACUGGAAUUCCUGGUGUAGCGGUGAAAUGCGCAGAUAUCAAGAGGAACACCUGAGGUGAAGACGGGUUGCUGGGCCGACACUGACGCUGAGUGCGCGAAAGCCAGGGGAGCAAACGGG